GGCGUAGGCAAUUGAGGCAGGUUUCCAGUUUAAGGUUUUAGUUUUGUAGACGAUUCGUCUGGAGUUUAGUCAAAAUGAGAAGGCUUUAUUGAUUUACCAUGGCGUUACGUUGGAGAUUUUUUUUUUUAUAACUUAUUCAAGAUGGGAGACGGACUUGCUGUACUUAAUCUCGAAGCUUUUAAAGUUUUCAACGUUCUCCGGGAUUACUUAAUUGAAAAAGUACGGUCUUAGUUAUGCAGGAGUAUUACUAAAAAUCUGGAAGUUUUGACAAGCUUAGACAUUUCCUACUUUUUGGAUCUGUAGGAAUCUGCUGUGAAGAAUUAAUCGAAAAAAAUUCUUAAGAGUACCAGUCUGUUCCAUUUUAUAUAGCUUUGAUUUAUAGGCUUUUGCACUGUAACUCCUAGCCAUGACCAAAUCUCAAGAACUAUUCUGUACUUCGUAGGAAAGACAGAUUUUUUUUUAUGCUUGUCUUAUAGCUUUGGUGAUGUAGGAUUAAAGAUGAGUAACUUUAUAAUAGGAUAUAUCCAAAAUUAAGGGGAAAUUAUUUUCAUGGGAUUUUUUCUUUCCGCUUGCAUUAGGUAAGAUGGUUACAGUUUGCUGUGAAAGUUUUUGUAAAAUUAUUUCUGGAAGUCUUUAAAACGUGGUGCAUGACUGUAAAGAGGAAUUCUUUUUAUGAUUUGAUGGUAAAGUAAGCUAUUGCCAGUAGAAUUAUAAACACUUAAGCAGCAGAAUAAGCGACCGAAUUAGACUAA